UACUUUAAAUAGUGUGCUGCACUGAGAAGUUUGGUAGUUUGCUGUGUUCCUACAUUUCAGAGGUACACUGUAAAAUCUUUGAGCUUAUAAUAUGUACUCCCAGUAUCUGUGCCACGGGAACAAUUUUAAAAUGAAAACCCUAGUCCCGAUAACUUAGCUGUCCUGUUACUAGUUCUGGGAACACUGCAUCAUACAGCAGAUGGGCCCCGACGCAGCGACUUUCACUUCUCAGCCGAUGUGACAAGCGGCAUACUGGGAAAGCACAGCCAGACUUAAUAAAGCCCAUAUGUGGUCAUGGGUACGGCACACAGUUGUGUGAGAAAAUAAUCAGGUUGAUCCAUCACAUCAGCCAACAAGGAACAUUAACAAACAGAAAGUGCUUGGCAGAAAGGAAACUGGAGCUCCGACGAUGACAGAUGCAUCACAGCAGCUUUGAUACACUAAAGAUGUAUGGAUCAUUUUGUGCUGAGUUUAUUUAUUUCAGGGACACCGUGAAUUCAUUGGCGAAUUGCGUAAGUUUGCAAUUCCUUUAUGCAUACACAGACUCUUUAUAGCCAACAUUUGUUAACCACAAAUCGAAUUAAGUUGAAUGGAUAACAUGCGCUUGUAUAGAGAGGGACAGUGAGCUGCAUUGCGUUUGAAUCCACACCAAAACCUCUGUUUCCUUUUGUUCUUCCACAGAAUAUCUUCAGAUGGUUUGCCUUCUCAGAGAGUCUCAUAUGUGGAGGAGUCUACAACACAUCCUGCUGCAUGGACUGAGAGGAGGGAUAGGCAGCGAUGGGAACACGAUUGCCUGAGAGCGGUGGGGGGAAAAUGGAGUUCACAAAUGAAUAGCCUGAAGAAACAGAUAGUACAUAUCAGAGCAAGUCUGAUGGAACGCAAAGCAGCUGAGGACGGGAGACGUCCGCGGCAUCAUAUGGAAACAGCUGCUGCCGCCAGACACGCUGAACAACGACAAGCUGUGGAGGGGCCCGGACCAGCACCACGUCAGGCUGUCCAGAUGUCUUCACUGGGCUGUCAGGGAUCGGACGUCGCGGCGCGGGAUCCUCGGUGACGAGAUGACGGGGUUCCUCUUGUAAAUCUAUUGCUGAAACCCAGUUCUCAUCCCAGCAGGUAAGGCUCGUCAUCUGUCUAGCCAUGUGGCUCCUCCACUGCUGUUCCCAUGAGGCAUCUUGUCAAUGGGCGUGACACCUAUCUUAAUCAAAGGCUUUGCUAUAUGUGCUCUUAGCCGUUGAACAACACACGUCGACAGUUCUGUGGAGGACAAUUUCUAAACCCUACACACAUCCUAUACACAACAACUUUUUUUUUAUACAUAACACCUUCCAUACACAACACAUCCCAUAGACAACACAUCCGAUAUGCAACAUAUCCAAAUCACAACGUAUCUUAUACACAACUCAUCCUUUGCACAAAAUAACGUAUACAUAACGCAUCCCAUUCAAAACACAUCCUAUGCACGACACAUCCUAAACAUAACACAUCCUAUUCACAACUCAUCCUACACACAACACAUCCUAUACACAACACAUUCUAUACACAACACAUCCCAGUCAAAACAUAUCCGAUACACAACAGAACCUAAACACAACUCAUGCCAUUCACAACAAACCCUAUACACAACACAUCAUAUACACUACACAUACAAUACACAACACAUCCCAUUCACAACACAUCCCAUUCACAACACAUCCCAUUCACAACACAUCCCAUUCAACUUUACACAACACAACCUUUAGCCAACAUAUGAAUUCUAUUUCCAUCCGGAAACAAACAUCAUACUGUGUUCUGCAGCGUUGU